CCUACGGGGGGCAGCAGUGGGGAAUAUUGGACAAUGGGGGCAACCCUGAUCCAGCCAUGCCGCGUGUGUGAAGAAGGCCCUCGGGUUGUAAAGCACUUUCAGUGAGGAAGAACGCCUGGUGGUUAAUACCCAUCAGGAAAGACAUCACUCACAGAAGAAGCACCGGCUAACUCCGUGCCAGCAGCCGCGGUAAUACGGAGGGUGCGAGCGUUAAUCGGAAUUACUGGGCGUAAAGCGCGCGUAGGUGGCUUGAUAAGCCGGUUGUGAAAGCCCCGGGCUCAACCUGGGAACGGCAUCCGGAACUGUCCAGCUAGAGUGCAGGAGAGGAAGGUAGAAUUCCCGGUGUAGCGGUGAAAUGCGUAGAGAUCGGGAGGAAUACCAGUGGCGAAGGCGGCCUUCUGGACUGACACUGACACUGAGGUGCGAAAGCGUGGGUAGCAAACAGGAUUAGAUACCCCUGUAGUC
rnacentral:rRNA from 1 species